GAAUAGCCACUAGUAACCCCAAGGGUCUAGUCUAUAUCUCAAAGUAAAGUUCCAACAUUCACUAAGUCUAGUGCCUCUUUAGGACACUAGAACAAAGGAUGCAUAGAAUGUCAUCUAGCAAUAACCUACUAUCAUGCUAGUAUAUUUCAACAGUGUAAUGAAUACAACUACAACAUAGUUAUGCAGUCUACUAUGUCAAAUCAUGGUAUGAAUGCAAUCCACUUAUGCAAUUCCUGUUACCACCCAAUCAAUUAGGCCAACUUGCCUAAGGUCUCAAAUCUCAAGGUUCUAGGCAAAGAGCUACCCCGCUCCUUGCCCGACUCGUAUCUCAUAGGUCCGACCCAAUCUCGAAAGUCCUAGGCAAAGAGCUACCCCGCUCCUCGCCCGACUCAAUCUCAAAGGUCCUAGGCAAAGAGCUACCCCGCUCCUUGCCCGACUCAAUCUCGCUCUACUAGGUACAAGCUG
rnacentral:lncRNA from 1 species